rnacentral:rRNA from 1 species
CAAUAGUGUAUAUUAAAGCUGCUGCGCUUAAAAAGCUCGUAGUUGGAUCUCGGGCUUCAGGCUGGCGGUCCGCCUCGCGGCGGUUUACUGCCUGCCCUGGCCCCCUGUACGGCAAGUCCCUUGGUGCUCUUGACUGAGUGUCUUGGGCGGCCGGACGUUUACUUUGAAGAAAUUAGAGUGCUCAAAGCAGGCCUUUGUCGCCUGGAUACUGGUGCAUGGAAUAAUGGAAUAAGACCUCGGUUCUAUUUUGUUGGUUUUCGGAGCACGAGGUAAUGAUUAAUAGGGACUGCCGGGGGCAUUCGUAUUGCGGCGCGAGAGGUGAAAUUCUGGGACCGUCGCAAGACGAACUACAGCGAAAGCAUUUGCCAAGAAUGUUUUCAUUAAUCAAGAACGAAAGUCAGAGGUU